rnacentral:rRNA from 1 species
AGCAGCCGCGGUAAUUCCAGCUCCAAUAGCGUAUAUUAAAGUUGUUGCAGUUAAAAAGCUCGUAGUUGAAUUUCGGGAUCAGUAUGUUGGUCGUGCUUCGGUACGUACUGUCAUUACUGGUUUCUACCUUCUGAAGAACCUUGAUGUCAUUAAUUUGGUGUCUUGGGGAAUCGAGGUACUGUUACUUUGAAAAAAUUAGAGUGUUUAAAGCAAGCAUACGCUUGAAUACAUUAGCAUGGAAUAAUGAAAUAGGACGUUUGAUUCUAUUUUGUUGGUUUCUAGGAUCGACGUAAUGAUUAAUAGGGAUAGUUGGGGGCAUUAGUAUUCAAUUGUCAGAGGUGAAAUUCUUGGAUUUAUUGAAGACUAACUACUGCGAAAGCAUUUGCCAAGGAUGUUUUCAUUAAUCAAGAACGAAAGUUAGGGGAUCGAAGACGAUCAGAUACCGUCGUAGUCUUAACCAUAAACUAUGCCGACUAGGGAUCGGAUGAUGUUAUUUUUAAUGACUCAUUCGGCGCCUUAA